UAGGGAAUCUUCCACAAUGGGCGCAAGCCUGAUGGAGCAACACCGCGUGAGUGAAGAAGGGUUUCGGCUCGUAAAGCUCUGUUGUUAAAGAAGAACACGUAUGAGAGUAACUGUUCAUACGUUGACGGUAUUUAACCAGAAAGCCACGGCUAACUACGUGUCAG
rnacentral:rRNA from 1 species